GAGGGUAUAGCUCAGUAGUAGAGUGCGUGCUUAACGUGCAUGAGGUUUGGGGUUCAAUCCCCAGUACCUCUG
rnacentral:tRNA from 1 species